AUACAAAAUGAUUGCUUAAUAUUGAAUUUUUGUUAUUAUCAAAAAAAACGUACUAUGUUAUAAAAAUAGGUGAUUUGACUAACUUUACGGACAAACAAUAAUCUUUAGGACCAAGAAUCCUGAUCAUUGGAUAUCUAAAUACAAAGUGACUUAAGAUAAAAAUGUAUAAGUAUUUAUUUUUGGCUAACAUUUUAUAAAAUUGAAUUUUGUUAAGUUAAGUAAGUAUUUGUUGUCAGAAGCGAAUAUGUUGAUGUUAUGUUCGUCAAAAAUAACGCUUCAAACACUCUUAUUAACGGAUUCAACGGAUUGGCCGUUUGUCCCAUUCCAUUUCUCCAUGGGAGCACCCUUUUUGCCCAGUAAUUGAGUUUAAGAAAGCGUCGCCCCAUUUGGCCAUGUGCUGGGCAGUUACUUGGACGAGAUUGCAUUGUCUGCGCUGAUUGACGGCCGAUUGACGGGAGAUGGACUUCUGCGGCGAGUGACAUUUGUUUAACGGAAUUAACGGCUGUAUGCGGACAGCUUAUCUGCAGGCUGGAUUGAAAGAGGCUUUGAAUCAAUCGCCAGCCCACUCCAGCCGCAUAUGCAUAUGGAUAUUCGUACAUUCAUCGAAAUGGGUUUUAUAGAACGGAAAUUUGAGGCCGAUGUCCGAUGUCUGCGAGGCGAAAGCACUUUGCGGUUAACCAGUUGUCCAGCACGAAGGUUAUGAAGGCCCAGAAGCUGUCUCCUGAUUGGCACAGGAAGCGCAUAGGUCCCGCCAUGUAGUCUGUUUAUGCCGAUUCCCGCAUACCGAGAUUCAAAAGCGAUUCCAGAGACCACUGGCCACUAGCUCAAACUUUGGCACUGGCCGUUGGCCACUGACAUCUUCGAGUUUGUCUAGCAUCACUCUGGUUACAGCCAAUCAAGCUUGAUAUGUGGCUCAGCAGAUGGGCCCUUCAUCCUCCAUCCGUGUGCAUGUUUGGACAGCAGUGAGUCGGAAACCGAAGAAGAGCUUCCCGGCAAUUGAACACAGUUUCAUCCUCAUCACAGACGUCAUUGAUUGAGCUUUGGGCUAUUGACUUUCCGGGGCCACCUUUGGGGGGCAAAGAGGCAUUUUUACUUUCUUGAAGACGACUUGGCAAUGAGAUUUCAACAUCACAGCCAUCCGCGGAUUAAUUAAUUUCAAUUUUAUCCUUUUUCAGUCCUUAUAUGGGACAAGAGGUUUCCUUCACAAAACUGUAUGAUGCGAGGCGAAUUAAAUAUCUUUCUGCUUA